AUGGGCUUCAGUAAUCGGUUCGGUUAAGCAUAAAAAAAAAAAAGUCGUGAAAAUUACACAGUAGCCGGUGUUUGAAGAUCUCUUUCCAAAAAUCAGAUACAAACUUUAAUUAAUUACAAAUCGGCAAUAAUUAUAUAUUUCAAUAUUAAUAAUAAUAUUGCAUUAAUCAAUCUCAUCCAGUUCAUCCCCAAUCCCUUUCAAAACAUAAAUCUCUCUCUCACCAUGAUGUCUGACGUUGCCAGUCGACAUAAAGCUCCGACAAUGGACAAGCGACAGUACUAUAGAUCAGGGCGGAGAAGAGACGGUAUGGUGGUGGUGCAAGGUGGAGGCAGGUUGGUGUUGGUCUCUUCUCUCCGUCAUCAGUCCGACGACUUAGCGCCAACAUAAAGCUCCAACAAUAGAGAAGUGGUUGACGCUGCAGAUCGGGGCGAAAAAGAUAAGGUGUGGUGGUGGUUUUGUUGGUGAUUUUUCGAAUAAAUUUAUUGUAAUAGCUUGUUGGUUACUGUGGUGGUGGUGGUGCAAGUUGGUGUUUUGUGCUGAUUGUCGGUGUAAAGGGUUGCUUCAAUGGCGUUGAAAUGAUUUUUGGGCUUCUUUCUGAUCUAUUUUUGUGGGGCUGAUAGGGUGUUUGGUGGUGAUGCAAGUUGUGAUAAUUGGCAGUGCUGGUAUUUUGCAUGGUAGUGGUUUUGUGGUGGUGGAUCUGGCAGUUUGGGGUUUUAUUUAAUUUAGCCUAUGGCAGGGGCGGCGAAGGUGGUGUGUUUGUGUCAUUUUUGUUGUUGUUGGCGGUGGUUGUGAUGGUGUUAAGCGAGCAAUGGUUGUGAGGUGGUGGUCGUUUUUGUGCAAGCAACAAUUGGGAGGUGUUGGUGCUGUGUGGACGGUGGUUGCAGUGUGUUUAGUGCAAGCGGCGAUUGUGAGGAGGUGAUUUGUGACUAAGAUUGGUAUUGGAUCGGGAUUGGUGGUGGGGUGUACGGUGCGUGUGAUCAAAUAUUUGAAAUUUGUGACUAAUAAAUUUGAAAAUAUGUGAUCCAUAGAAAAUUGUGACCUGUAAUUUUUUUGAUCUUUGACCAAUGAAAUAAACUGUGAGCCAUAAAAAAUUUUAUUUAUGACCUCGAAAUAAUCUUUGAUCUACAAAAAUUUUAUUUGUGAAUUCAAAAUAAU
rnacentral:lncRNA from 1 species